GUAGGGAAUCUUCCACAAUGGGCGCAAGCCUGAUGGAGCAACACCGCGUGAGUGAAGAAGGGUUUCGGCUACGUAAAACUCUGUUGUUGGAGAAGAACGUGCGUAAGAGUAACUGUUUACGCAGUGACGGUAUCCAACCAGAAAGUCACGGCUAACUACGUGCCAG
rnacentral:rRNA from 1 species